AUAAUUAUCUUUAUUAACAUAAUUUACUGAGGUGGGGUACAGCAAGAAAUAUUCUACUCAAAUCUGGAGCAGCCUGACUGGGGAAGUACCUCAACCUUACGGAAGACCACAGCU